CUUCGCCUACUGUGUUAGGUAAUAAUAUAUAAUAUGUUCCCUUCUUUGAUUUAAAUAUAAAUUGAAAUAUACAUUAUACUAAUUAUCGCAUUCCAUUAUUUCAGAGAUCUCUUUCCAUUUUUUAUCUAACGUAAAAAAUGAAUAAAGAGACCGGUAAGGCUGGUGAGAAGAGGACUGCAGGAGUAGAUAAAGAUCCAUCCACGUCGAAACAAAAACAACGGGAUAGCACCCCUGACAGAGUAUUGAAGUCUCGGGGUGAACUUCCACCAAAAGAGAAGCCAUCUACUUUCAAAAAACCCUUACAAGACUCAUGGCUUCAAGAAGGCCAAAAUUGAUACCUGUGAAAUAUUGCAAAGGCUUUUCUACCCAGGGCAACACUCGGGAAUAUUAAGCUCUGCACAGGUAACUGGCCCAGCAGACCUUGAUAGCACUGCCAAGAAAGACCACAGACUUGGUUCAGUGGUGAAGGUGCUCAGCCA